rnacentral:lncRNA from 1 species
AGAAGCCCCAUACACCAAAAGUUUCAUCCAAGCACACCAAAUCCUCCAUAGCCAGCUUCGAUCAGUCUUGUUCUCAUGAAGAUAAUCUUCUAACUUUUGCAACCCUUCCCUACAACAACAAUUUGGCAGAAUAACUCCCAAAAUUCAAUUCCUCAAGGUUUUACCUUUCACCUCCUCUACUUGUUUCUUUAUAUUCAACAUCACAGUAGGAUAAAUUCACAAACGAAUACACACACAUUCAUUAAAGCACCAGUAAACCCAUCACAUCAUUUUUUUUUUUUUGUAUAGAUUGUAAAAAUACGAACUUUUUAAGUUGUGUAUACAAAUGAAAAUACAAGUUAUUGAAUAUUAAGAAAGCAUGAAAAAUUUGAACUUGAGCUUGGGUUGUUGACUGUUGAUUGUUGGGGGUGUGCUUGCUGUGUUGAGAGUCGAGUCAAGAGGGAAGGGCAGGCGGCGGUCGGCGGUGGCUCCGCGCCACUGUCGGCCGGAGUGUGCAGGGAGAGAGAGAGAGCCGUAAGACAGAGGAAGGCGCGGCACGGCGGCUCCGCCCGCUGCUGUCGGGCUAAGGACGGAGAGAGAGAGAGAGGGAGGCAUGAGCUAGGGUUUUUCAGAGAGGGGGAGAAGGCGGCGGUUCUCCAGCCGUCGAGAGAGCCGGGCAUGCGGCGGCGGCCAUGGUGGUGGAGGCUGUUGCCGGAAUUUUGAGAGAGAGGGUGCCGACAGUGGUGGCGUGAAGCCGUUGUUGUCUUUUGCCGGAGCUUUAAAGGCGGCAGCGGGAUUUCGAGGGAGGUGGCGGUGGCCUUUCAGUUCGUGUGGGUGUGUGAGUUGUCGUGUGAAAGAGAGCCAGAGGGAGAUGGAGAGCUCAGGGGGCGACGGCGGCGGCGGCCGGAGGCCGGCUGCAGUCGUCUGCCGGAAGGGGAGAAAGGGGGGAGCUGGGUGACAGAGUGUGUGUGCGUGUGUUAGUGUUAGUAUGUGUGUGUUUAAAGAGAUGUAGAAAUAAUUUGGGCCCUUGCCCUAAUUAGUUUGGGCCCAAUUUUGGGCUGCAAACUUAUUUAAUUAAGUUAGACCUUUUAUUUUAAAGAGUAUGGAUUGCCCUUAUUUAAUUAUUGGGCUUGACUUUUAUUUUAAGAAUAAUUUGUAUAAUAUUAUAAUAAUAUUAUAUGUUUAAGUAUGGAAUGAGCUAUGCAUUGCAUCAUGGUUUAAAUUAGUUUUCAUAAAUCCAGUUAAUAAAGAAAAACGAGUAAGGAUAUUGUUGGUGUCCUUAACUCAAAAAUUUUAGUUUUCAAAUAUUUAUUUUUUUUAAAUUUUGAAAACUCGGCUAAGUGAAUCAUAGAAUGUUAAGCACUUUACUACGACUUAAGAUUAGAUUCAGGAGACCUAUUAAGAUUAUAGAUUUCUUGUAGGCUUUGUGGAUCGUGAGGACUAGCGCAGCUAUUCCGAUUCAGAGAUUAGAUAAACGACAGGCAUUGCCUAUUCAGGUGGGCUUAUUUUUCAAAUGUAUGCUUGAGUUAUUAAGCUCUAAAUGUUUCAUGAAUUGAAAACUGUUUAUCCAAUAAAUAUUUUUGUGCGCUCUGUUAUGUUUAAGGCUCGCAAUUCAUGGAUCGAUCGAGGUUCUCUUAUGACCUAACACGUUGUUUGAGAAUUGUGUACACUUGUUAGUUGUUUCGGUGGGUUGAUCUCCAUCGGGCACUAAUUCAUGUAAGAGGCGUUAUAAGGGUGCUUGGCUGGAUGUGUUCCGGAGCAUGUAUCAUGUAAGGCCUGCCUGGGUAGCGUCCCGAGGUCAAUUCAACUUGUCUGAGUUACGUCCUCAGGGCAAGUGUCAUGGGAGAAAGCGAUACGUCGGUGGCUAAAAGGUCCGGUAUCACAGCGAGUAACUAAACAGAGUGUGACAAUGGCGCGCUAAUAAAAUGAAAUACUUUAACAUGCUUAGAAGUUAUUUUUGUUUUAAAACCUUCUAAGUUAUGUCAGGAAUGAUUGGAUAAACUGCUCUUACGAAUUGUGAAAUGUUUUAAAAGUUGCAGCCCACUAAGUACAUUAGUACUUAGCCCAAAUAUUUUCAAAUGUUUUUCAGGUUGAUGGCUGGUGCUGA